rnacentral:rRNA from 1 species
AAUCAACGCUGGCGGCGUGCCUAACACAUGCAAGUCGAACGCGAAAGUCCCGCAAGGGAUUAGUAGAGUGGCAAACGGGUGAGUAACACGCGGGUGACCUGCCUUCGAGCGGGGGAUAACGUCCCGAAAGGGACGCUAAUACCGCAUAACAUCCUGCCUUUUAAGAGGUGGAGAUCAAAGCCGGGGAUUCGCAAGAACCUGGCACUUGAAGAGGGGCCCGCGCCUGAUUAGCUAGNGGUGGGGUAAUGGCCUACCAAGGCAACGAUCAGUAUCCGGCCUGAGAGGGCGGACGGACACACUGGGACUGAGACACGGCCCAGACUCCUACGGGAGGCAGCAGUGGGGAAUUGUUCGCAAUGGGCGCAAGCCUGACGACGCAACGCCGCGUGGAGGAUGAAGACC